UUGUUUGUUUACUUGCUGUAGCUGGAGCCUCGUCGUCUCGACCACGAUGCCGCCCCGGGCAACCGCCCGUAUCAAAAACCGCUACUGCUUGCUGUACUGCGUAGGCACCUCCUACAUCGCACCUUUCUCCAAAUUCGAUAGUCGGCUACUUUUCCUCUGUGCUACCUUGAUCUUGGAGUAGUCUCCUUCUCCGUGGAGGGUUCUGCUCCUUUCAUCUUACAGCAUCUCACUGAUGACUUCUGUCGUGGAGUAGAUCACAUAUAUACACGUAUAUUCAUGUGAGGGUCGGAGCACAAACGUGACACUGAUGACCGCACUGAUAAAACCCGCUUAGAGUCACGCGACGUUACCUGGGCGGGAGUGAGCUGAUGGAGUUGAAUAAAGGUGGUGUUCCUGAGCGGGGUGUCUUAAACCGACGGGAACGGCAGCACGGACUCCAUCAUUCAGCCAUCAGGAUGUCCUCAGCACCACCCGAGCAUCGACCUGAGUCAGGUUAAAACAUGAUAUAGCCAUGUCUGUUCCAUUUGUAACUACUGAAAAUUAAAUAAAAUAAAAAAUAACAACAAAGGUUGAUCAAAUGGAUCAAUACGACAAAGCCGUGAUGAUCCACUUGGUAAAGUAAAUCUGUUGGAUAUCUUUGUUGGCCUUCAGUCAUCAACUCAUCAAUGACAGCUAAAGAACCAAACGGGACAGGCAAAAAAAAGCAGUGGUGUCCAACUCCAGGCCUCGAGGGCCCGUGUCCUGCAGGUUUUAGAUCUCACCCUGGA